CACGUAGUUAGCCGGUGCUUAUUCUUCAGGUACCGUCAUUAGCGCUCUGUAUUAGAAAGCACCGUUUCUUCCCUGACAAAAGAGCUUUACAACCCGAAGGCCUUCUUCACUCACGCGGCAUUGCUGGAUCAGGCUUGCGCCCAUUGUCCAAAAUUCCCCACUGCUGCCUCCCGUAGGAGUCUGGACCGUGUCUCAGUUCCAGUGUGGCUGGUCGUCCUCUCAGACCAGCUACUGAUCGAUGCCUUGGUAGGCUUUUACCCUACCAACUAGCUAAUCAGAUAUCGGCCGCUCCACGAGCAUGAGGUCUUGCGAUCCCCCAUUUCAUCCGUAGAUCGUAUGCGGUAUUAGCGUAACUUUCGCUACGUUAUCCCCCACUCCAGGGUACGUUCCGAUAUAUUACUCACCCGUUCGCCACUCGCCGCCAGGUUGCCCCGCGCUGCCGUUCGACUUGCAUGUGUAAGGCAUGCCGCCAGCGUUCAAUCUGAGCCAGGA
rnacentral:rRNA from 1 species